rnacentral:rRNA from 1 species
AGCGAACGCUGGCGGCAGGCCUAACACAUGCAAGUCGAACGAACCUUUCGGGGUUAGUGGCGGACGGGUGAGUAACACGUGGGAACGUGCCUUUAGGUUCGGAAUAACUCAGGGAAACUUGUGCUAAUACCGAAUGUGCCCUUCGGGGGAAAGAUUUAUCGCCUUUAGAGCGGCCCGCGUCUGAUUAGCUAGUUGGUUGAGGUAAUGGCUCACCAAGGCGACGAUCAGUAGCUGGUCUGAGAGGAUGAUCAGCCACAUUGGGACUGAGACACGGCCCAAACUCCUACGGGAGGCAGCAGUGGGGAAUCUUGCGCAAUGGGCGAAAGCCUGACGCAGCCUUGCCGCGUGAAUGAUGAAGGUCUUAGGAUUGUAAAAUUCUUUCACCGGGGACGAUAAUGACGGUACCCGGAGAAGAAGCCCCGGCUAACUUCGUG